rnacentral:tRNA from 1 species
CGCGGGGUGGAGCAGCCUGGUAGCUCGACGGGCUCAUAACCCGUAGGUCGCAGGUUCAAAUCCUGCCCCCGCUACCA